ensembl:lncRNA
UUGUUAGUGUUGUAAAUAUUUUAUUUACGUGCAAAGUUGUAAAAAUACACUACAUAAAGCCUUUCAAUAUCAAUAAAAUACAAAUUAAAUACAAAAUAUAACUCAAAGUCCUGAAUUUUGGUCGACAGUCAUUUCCAUACCAUACAUUAACUAUACAUAAUCUAUUUAUGACAUCUGUCCCAUUUGAUGGUCAAGCCUAAACAAUAAAAACGAUCAAACAACAAAGAGUGAAUUGACAAAAAAGUUAGAGAGGAUCGACCAAAAGUUUUGACGAAGCAAACAGACACACAGACACAGCCUCAAGUUAAACACGCAACCCAAAAAGUCAGAGCAGAGAAUGGACUGCAAGAUGGUUUGUAGAGGAGAGGGGGGCGGGGGGACUGAUGGAUGUCCUCUCAGACUUAGCCAACACAUUGCUAACAUCCUGUCUGUGUAGUCACGGCCGGGCAUCGCUUUCGACACGCAACAUGGUAAAUGAGGCCCGGUUUACGAAGCGCUGCCAAGCUGCAACUAUCAAUGCUCUGUGGUCCACCACAACAGAAUCACUUACCCCCUACCCCACUGCCUCCAUCUCUCUGCGGAGCGAUGUGUUUUCUCCCCCCUGUCCAAUUUGGAUCUACUAUGAGUCAGCCACACACACAGUACCUUAAAGGUGCUGUCGGAAAGAUUCAAAAGUUGGAAGGGGAACAGAGCAGAAAAGAGCCCAAAAGAGCAAGACUUUGCAAUUACGCAACCCACAUGAAAGUCCCUCCCUCCCCCUCAAUACAUAUCUCCUGAGAAGUGUUGCAAACACACGCCUGUGAUUGACAGGCAAGACUGAUCCCCCUAACCAAUCAGGGAAGAGAUGCCCUCUCAUAAAGCAAGUGCAGUCAACCAGGACAGAUAUUCUCAUAGAGCAUUUCACUCAAUCAUAGCUGACCGGUGGCUGUGGCAUUCUAAAUUAAUCUCAAAUUAUACCUUUUGAACCUCAAAAGAUAUAAUUUAACCGCCGCAUGAUACUGACCUCUCACACAAACCGUUCAGGAAAUAUCCUCUAAAUGUUGAUAUGCUAGGUUAACACAAUCUGAUGGGAAUGUCUGGUGUUCUAGCCAGGAGUUGAAUAUUAUAUGAUAUUGAAUCUCUUUCUGCACACUAGUGAGCAUGCACUCAUGGAUAAAAAUUAGCAUGACAAGCUCAACGUAUGGAACUAUUCCAGGGUUCUGGGCGAAUAACAACAGUAACAACAGGAACAUACGGAGGUUGCCUCUCUGUUUUCAGCCCACCACACGCUUGAGUUAGCUCCUUUAGCCCUCGUUCGCUAACAAGGUUAGCGUACGGCAGCCGCACCACACUAGGCGCCGUCAGGGGGAAUCAGUGAACCAGGUUGGCUCGGCUUACAAGGUGUCAGCCUAGGCCCCGCCCACCGGCUAAGGAGACGGCUGCAGCUGUCACAGAGCCAGGCAGGGCUCCAUCCAAACUGAUGGGGUGUGUGCGUGUGUGUGGUGUGUGUUGUGGAGCAUGGAAAUGUGGGCAGACGCAGGUUAAAAGGUGAGGGUGUGAUGGCCCACACACACAUGGACACAAACACAUGUGCAUUCGCAUACUCAUGGGAACACACACAGAUACACUAGCCACACACGGGACAUUAGAGAGAGAGAGAGAGAUCAGAGCAAAGAAAGAGGGAAAAGAGAAAAAACUGACUGACAAGACAUGAAAAGAGUGAGAGAGAGCGAGAGAGAGAGAGGAGUAAGAAGAUAGAGAAGGAUAUACAGAGUCCGAGACUGAGGUAUGGUGGCGGAGGUGGACGGCGUGGGAGUUGUGUGACUCUUAUGUUACAUAAGACUGUGAUUGUGGUGACCGUCAGAGUGUGCCUUGGCCUUCGUCUCUCUCCCACUCUCUCUCUCGCUCUCUAUCUGUGUGUCUGAUUGGGAGAUGAGUGCAGGAAGGAGCAGGCGGAGGUCCUGAAAGGGGGCCUGUUAACGAGGACGAUCUGAAAAGGAGACGUGUUGGUACACCGGCAGAGACAGAACAUAAAGGAGGGAAGAAGAACUCUCAUUACGGCGCCGUAGCCAACGUCGCCCUGUGAGGUUGUCGCCAGUGAGGGCCGAGGUUAGUGGUUUGGCACACGGCAGGUGGGAAGAAACACUCGUCUGGCUGCUGAUUCAAAACGUUAGCGUUGAGUAGCGUCAGGGAGUUGUUACGGUGUGUUAGCGCUCGUUACAAUUUUGUUGCUUGGACCCCCCCCCUCCGCCAACUGUCGGGCGCCUCGUACAAAGAUCCCAGUCGGGACCUUUGUACGAAGUGCCCAGAACGGCGCUUUUGUUUAGGCUUUGAGACGCACACAAACCCACUGUCAAAAUGAUGCACAAUAAGUCAAUUUGGUCGUUUUCAGUGGCGGUUUCGGCGUGUUCAGAGUCCCUAAAUGCAUUCCACCGGUUGAGUUCGGAAAGAAAAGAGAGUCCCCCCCCUUGUCGCCAUGACGCUGGAAAUAUUUCAUUUGUGAGAAAAAACAAACAACGGAUGCGAUGUGGCAUAUGAAACCAUAUAUUCAAAAAGUUAACUGUGUUUAUUUAUCACUCGCACGAAGGUAAUCAUUUUUGCAUCCUGUGCGAGAGAAUGCAUGCCCGUUCGGGCGUCACCGAUACGGAAGAACGGGCAGCAGACAAGCUGUGUGGCGGCUGAUAGUGACGUUCCGUGGCUGUCUGUAGAGAGUCUCUUUUGGUUUGAAAAUAUCCGUUACCUGUACCGUUCUCAACUCAAUUUGAGGAAACGGGGGAAAUGGAGUGAAGUUAACACUGUUUUCUUUUGGUCACAUCGAAAAACCAACGCUGGUGUUUGUUUGUUUUCUUAAAAAGGACAUUAAACACGGCGUUUGGAUCAGUUGUAUGAUUGGACUGCGAGGUCAGCUCAGACAGUGGGGCAGGAAUCCAAUCCCAUCAAAAGAACAGAGAUAUUCGCCACUCUAGUUCUGAUUCAUCCGAUUUUGGUUGGAAAACAAACACUGAAAUUACAUUUUGUGUUGUCCUGAAUUAACCUAACAAUCCUAAACAUGAAAAGCAACAACUCCACACACAAAAU